GGCAGUAUGGUCUAGUGGCUAGGACACAGGUCUAACCCUCCGGAAACCUGGGUUUUAGUCCCAGUGCACCCC
rnacentral:tRNA from 1 species